rnacentral:rRNA from 1 species
UACGUAGGGUGCGAGCGUUAAUCGGAAUUACUGGGCGUAAAGCGCGCGUAGGCGGCUUUGUAAGUUAGAGGUGAAAGCCCGGAGCUCAACUCCGGAAUUGCCUUUAAGACUGCAUCGCUAGAAUCAUGGAGAGGUUAGUGGAAUUCCGAGUGUAGAGGUGAAAUUCGUAGAUAUUCGGAAGAACACCAGUGGCGAAGGCGACUAACUGGACAUGUAUUGACGCUGAGGUGCGAAAGCGUGGGGAGCAAACAGG